CAGAUAUUGGAAUCUGGCCACAGGAUCACAAAUAUGGUACCAAUCUAUGAGGGCUAUCCCUUUGUCCAUGCAUCUUGCAUCUGGACCUGGCUGGGACCUUACAGAAUCCCUCAUGAAGGCCAUUGCAGAGUGGGGCUACAGCUGCACCACCGCAGCUUAGUGGGUGAUUGUGAGUGACAUUAAGGAGAAAUUGUGCUAUGUUUCAUUGAAUUUUGAACAAGAAUUGGCUACUGCCAAUUUCGGAAGAGCUAUGACCUGACAGAUGGGCAGGUAUUCACUAUUGACAAUGAGCAACUCCAGUGUCUACAGGCCCUCCAGGGUCUUCCAACACUCAGUCCUUGGCAUGGAGCCCUCUGGCAUCCUUGAGACCAUCUUAAAACCCAUCAUGAAGUUCUAUGUGAACAUCCACAAGGUCCUGUAUGCCAACACACUGUUGCCUGGUGGCACAAACCUGUUUCAAGGCAUUGCUACUAGGAUGCAGAAGGAAAACACGGCCCUAGCAUGCAGCACAAUGAAAAUUAAGAUUAUUGCCCUCUCUGAGUACAAGUCUAGAUUAGAGGCUGCAUCCUGGCCUCACUGUCUACCUUACUGCAAAUGUGGAUCAGCAAGCAGGAGUCUAUGUUGAGCCCUUUCAUGGUCCACUUCAAAUGCUUC
rnacentral:lncRNA from 1 species